CUUUGGAAGUAUGUAUAUCACAACUGAAAAGACAAAAAGCAGCUCAACAUAGUCCUUGCCCAAAGAGAUGUGCAAAUUCAUGAAACAGGUCAUAUUUUU
rnacentral:snRNA from 1 species